ACAUAGGGUGCAAGCGUUGUCCGGAAUUAUUGGGCGUAAAGAGCUCGUAGGUGGUUCGUCACGUCGGAUGUGAAAAUCUGGGGCUUAACCCCAGACCUGCAUUCGAUACGGGCGAGCUAGAGUGUGGUAGGGGAGACUGGAAUUCCUGGUGUAGCGGUGGAAUGCGCAGAUAUCAGGAGGAACACCAAUGGCGAAGGCAGGUCUCUGGGCCAUUACUGACACUGAGGAGCGAAAGCGUGGGGAGCGAACAGG
rnacentral:rRNA from 1 species